rnacentral:rRNA from 1 species
GAUGAACGCUAGCGGCAGGCCUAAUACAUGCAAGUCGAGGGGUAGUGGUUGCUUGCAGCCAUGAGACCGGCGCACGGGUGCGUAACGCGUAUGCAACCAACCUUCAUCUGGGGGAUAGCCCGGAGAAAUCCGGAUUAAUACCGCAUAAAAUCACAGUACGGCAUCGUACAAUGAUCGAACAUUUAUGGGCUGGAGAUGGGCAUGCGUGUCAUUAGUUAGUUGGCGGGGUAACGGCCCACCAAGACCGCGAUGACUAGGGGAUCUGAGAGGAUGACCCCCCACACUGGUACUGAGACACGGACCAGACUCCUACGGGAGGCAGCAGUAAGGAAUAUUGGUCAAUGGGCGCAAGCCUGAACCAGCCAUGCCGCGUGCAGGAAGACGGCCCUCUGGGUUGUAAACUGCUUUUAUUCGGGAAUAAACCUGCUUACGUGUAAGUAGCUGAAUGUACCGAAGGAAUAAGGAUCGGCUAACUCCGUGCCAGCAGCCGCCGUAAAAC